GACGAACGCUGGCGGCGCGCCUAACACAUGCAAGUCGAACGAGCGAGAGAGAGCUUGCUUUCUCAAGCGAGUGGCGAACGGGUGAGUAACGCGUGAGGAACCUGCCUCAAAGAGGGGGACAACAGACCGAAAGGCCUGCUAAUACCGCAUGAUACAGUUGGGUCGCAUGACUCUGACUGUCAAAGAUUUAUCGCUCUGAGAUGGCCUCGCGUCUGAUUAGCUAGUUGGCGGGGUAACGGCCCACCAAGGCGACGAUCAGUAGCCGGACUGAGAGGUUGACCGGCCACAUUGGGACUGAGACACGGCCCAG
rnacentral:rRNA from 1 species